rnacentral:rRNA from 1 species
GACGAACGCUGGCGGCGUGCUUAACACAUGCAAGUCGAACGGAAAGGCCUGCUUUCCCUUGUGGAUUGCGGGUACUCGAGUGGCGAACGGGUGAGUAACACGUGAGUGAUCUGCCCCCAACUUGGGUAUAAGCCUGGGAAACUGGGUCUAAUUCCCGAUAGGACUGCAGGGUGGUGCCUGUGGUGGAAAACGAUUUUCUAGUGGUUGGGGAUGAGCUCGCGGCCUAUCAGCUUGUUGGUGGGGGAAUGGCCUACCAAGGCGGCGACGGGUAGCCGGCCUGGGAGGGUGGGCGGCCGCAUUUGGACUGAGAUACGGCCCCGACUCCUACGUGCGGCAGCAGUGGGGAAUCUUGCGCGAUGGGCGGAAGCCUGAUGCAGCGACGCCGCGUGGGGGAUGACGGCCUUCGGGUGGUAACCUCCUUUCGACCGCGAGGAAGCCACCUGGUUGGAAGGGUGGUGACGGUAGUGGUAGAAGAAGCACCGGCUAACUACGUG